rnacentral:misc_RNA from 1 species
UCCGACUUGACGUCGGCAGUCUCGUUAGAGUGCCCCACUUAAGGCUGGCAACUAACGACAGAGGUUGCGCUCGUUGCGGGACUUAACCCAACAUCUCACGACACGAGCUGACGACAGCCAUGCAGCACCGUCUCACUCAUUCCCCGAAGGGCACCCCACCAUCUCUGGCAGGUUUGAGUGGAUUUAACCCAGGUAAGGUUCUGCGCGUUGCGUCGAAUUGAACCACAUGCUCCACCGCUUGUGCGGGCCCCCGUCAAUUCCUUUGAGUUUCAACCUUGCGGUCGUACUCCCCAGGCGGGAUGCUUCCUGCGUUCGCGCCGGCACGGAGGGGGUCGAUACCCCCCACACCUAGCAUCCACCGUUUACGGCGUGGACUAC